rnacentral:rRNA from 1 species
UGGGGUAUAUUGGACAAUGGGCGAAAGCCUGAUCCAGCCAUGCCGUGUGUGUGAAGAAGGUCUUCGGAUUGUAACGCUCUUUAAGUUGGGAGGAAGGGCAGUAAGCGAAUACCUUGCUGUUUUGACGUUACCGACAGAAUAAGCACCGGCUAACUCUGUGCCAGCAGCCGCCGUAAUACAGAGGGUGCAAGCGUUAAUCGGAAUUACUGUGCGUAAAGCGCGCGAAGGUGGUUCGUUAAGUUGAAUGUGAGAGCCCCGGGCGCAAACUGGGAACAGCAUCCAAGACAGUGGGGCUAGAGUAGGGCAGAGAGUGGUGGAAUUUCCUGUGUAGCGGUGAGAAGCGUAGAUAUAGGAGGAAACACCAGUGGCGAAGGCGACCACCUGGGGUCAGACUGACACUGAGGUGCGAGAGCGUGGGGAGCAAAAAGG